CAAUAACGGAUCAACUCGCAAGGAAAGUUCAUCACCGGCAUAAUGGGUAAAAGUGAGAUAAUUUGAAGGGCAUUUGGCAGCAAGACUGGCCCUUGGCAUUUGACAAAAAUGCCAAGAAGAAUGAACUGGAAAACAAACCUUAGGAGAUUAUAUCCAUGGAAUUUAGUGAGUGGUGGGAAGUGGAUCACUAUUUGAGUGCAAGUGGUUACCUUGGAGACAAUAUUCACCCUUUUUGUGGCCCUGUCUAAGGAUAAGUGUAACAUUUCAAAUGAAGAGUUCCGCAGGUAUAUCUCUAACGUGGAAUAUGAGGUUAUGCAUCAUCUUUGUGGCGGUUUCAAAGGAGGUUUUGAUGAAAAAAAGUUCAAUAGUAUGCCUUGAUUAAAGGGUGCCUUGAUUGAAGAUGCAGCGGGGAAAAUCAACAGCGAAAUAGCAGUCACAAAGUGGUAUUAGGUUUUAACUUGGUAUCAGUUUUUGUACGGGUUCAUUUGAGAGGGGCUGCAUUUGAGAGGGUGAUGGAU